AAGCCAGCGGCGUACGGACAGCAGAACUAUGUUUCACCUUGUCCUAUUCGCCUUUUUGUUUCAACCUACUAUAUGCCAGACCCAGGCAUGUGGUGAUGGUUUCUAUGGUGAUGACUGCAGACCUUGUGGCCAUUGUGCUAAUGGUGCUUUCUGUGACAAGUCUUCUGGAUACUGUCCCUACAACAGCCCUCGAUGUGGCCCAGGGUAUACGGGUAUACUAUGUCAGACAGAAUGUGGUGAUGGUUUUUAUGGUGAGGACUGCAGACAAGACUUUUGGUUUCUGUCCUUCC